AGAUUGCCUCCUAAACUCACAGUGUUCUUACCAAGUUUUACCCCUCAGAAGAUCAACAAAGAACAGCUUUAUCAACAGUUUGGUUCUCUGUCAGCGUCAUCUAUCAAAACAGAAGAACAUGGCUACACCAUGGAAUCUCCCGGUGCUGAGUCCUCUCCCCCGGACAGACCGCUCAUUGAUGUACCACGGAUCAUCACACAGAUAAACACCAAGUGUGAACCAUUAAGUGUGUCCUGUCUGAGUGAUGAGGAGAUGUGGACGUGUAGUAAUGACAACAUCAUGAGACUGUACAACCUCCGUGGGGAACUAGUGAAGUCAGUCCAAACCAAGUCAGGGAACUAUCCAUGGGACAUAGCAGUGACAAGGAGUGGGGAUCUAGUUUAUACUGAUAGAGAUGAUAGAACUGUGAACAUAAUGAAGAAUACACAGAUACAGACAGUGAUCAGACUACGGGGGUGGAGACCUCGCGGUGUCUGUAGUACCUCCUCUGGUGACCUCCUGGUUGUCAUGUACAGUGAUGAUGAUAAACAAACAAAAGUUGUGUGUUACUCUGGCUCCACAGAGAAACAAAGUAUUCAGUACGACGACAAAGGACAACCUCUCUAUUCAUCUGGUGGAUUAAAUAAAGCUAAAUACAUCAGUGAGAACAGGAACCUAGAUAUCUGUGUGUCAGACUGUGGAGCCGGUGCAGUAGUGGUGGUCAAUCAUGCCGGGAAACUCCAGUUUACCUACACUGGUCCUCCCUCUACUACCAAGGGAUUAUUCUAUCCAUACGGCAUCACAACAGACAGCCAGGGUCGGAUCCUGACAGCAGACUUUAACAACGACUGUAUCCACAUCCUGGAUCAGGACGGACAGUUCCUCCGCUACAUUGACAACAGUCAUUUACAGGAUCCAUUUGGUUUAUGUGUGGACACCAGAGACAACCUCUUUGUGACUGAGUUAACAGGUAAAGUGAAGAAAAUACAAUAUGUGUAGAACAUUACACAGCAGUGUAACAUUGUUUAUAUGUAUUACAUGUUAACAAACUGACUGUAUAUAUUAUACUUGUUUGUGUAUAACAGUUAAUUAUCUGUAUUAUAUAAUUAGUUUAUGUUAAUAAAUAAACACCUUCAUAUAUUCUUUACAUACCAACAAUACUAUUGUUUAGUUUCUCUAUGUAAAUCGUAACAAACUCAUUCUUUUUGUGCAGUGAUUUUAAUGGUAUAAAAAUGACAGCAUAAAUAUUUUACUUUCCAAACAAACUAUUAUAUAUACAUGUGUAUAUAUAUAUAUGCUUGUCAUUAAAAGUUGAAAAGAAUACAAUCAAACAUUCUGUUUAAUGAACAUUGUAUAUCAAGAAUGAGAACAAGUGAAUGUUUGAAAAAAAAAACCAUUUAAUUUAUGUCAUUCUGUUGGAUGAGUAUAUCAUUGUGUAUAAUAAAUGAUUUGUAUACAGUU
rnacentral:misc_RNA from 1 species